CUGUCACCGCGGCCAAGGCAGCCCCACAACCUUCACAUCUCUGACAAGGCCUUUCCUGUUUGUCACUAUGAGGCAACAACCACACCAUUCCUUGUGGGAUCCUCCACUGCCUCUGUCAGGAAGCUGUCAUCAAUUUACAGGAGCUUCCUGGACUGUUUGUGCUUUGUUGUGUUACUUCAACCACCUGAACGAGGAAUGAUCUGGUGUGCUGAUAAAAAAGGGACGCCUAACCUGAAAGUGUUUGGUAGAAGAACUGAACAGCACUAGGACUUUG